rnacentral:rRNA from 1 species
AUGCAAUUGUCAAUCAUAUUGGUGCAGCUAUGGAACGAGUGGGAAAUCAGGUUACUUGUGCUUCUCAGUUAUACACUGCAACUAUUCCUCUUCUUCACAGGGGGGCUUAGGCGACGAAGCAGUAAUACAUUGCUAAGAUUCUCUAUUUGGUUGGCUUAUUUGGGGGCAGACAUGAUUGCAUUUUAUACUCUUGGUCAGAUCUCUCGACUUGGAGAUUCUAUCAAUAGUAGGGAUCCGUUUACAGGGACAAUGUCUUUGGCAUUCUUUUGGGCACCUUUCCUCCUUGUUCAUCUUGGUGGACAAGACACUAUUACUGCCUUUUCAUCUGAGGAUAACAAUUUGUGGCUAAGGCAUUUUCUGAAUCUUUUGGUUGAAGUCAGCCUUGCAUUAUAUGUCUUUUGGAAAUCAAUGGGGAACAGCAAUCAGCUUUUAAUUCCAGCCAUGUUUGUGUUUGUUUCUGGAAUAAUUAAGUACGGGGAGAGGAUAUGGGCUCUCAAGUAUGGGAGUAAGGAUGACCUUAAUAGCACCACUAGUAACUAUGAAAAUAAUCAACUGCCACUACUAAGUGUUGAGCAAGAUAGAUACUGUGACAUUGUUUGCUAUGCUCUCCAUACGGCACGCUAUAUUCGGGGAUUCCUUGCAGGGCGUGCAACUUUUCAGAUGGGGCAUGAAAUUCGGUUUACAUUAGUAGAAUAUUUUGGAAGAUUUGCAGAGCAUGGGGCAAAACUUAAGAUCAUUGAGAUGGAGCUCGCUAUUAUAUAUGAUGACCUCUACACCAAGGCUGUUCUGUUUAGGACAUGGACAGGUAGCAUUUUUCGCUGUGUUGUACAUAUCUCUGCAGUGGUUGCUUUUGUGCUCUUCUACGCAGACAGGAAAGAAAGCUAUAGCAGAGUGGAUAUUGCAAUAACAUAUGCAUUACUCAUUGGUAGCAUUUUUAUGGAACUUGUUUCAAUUCUUAUGGCAAUGGUAUCACCAUGGGCAUGGGCAUUCUUGAAAGCACGGAAUUUUCACUGGCUUACCAAUUUGUUCUGGUCUAUCUUCAACAUUGUUCAGCCGGAGAAGAGGCUGUGGUGGUCAGAUUCCAUGGGGCAAUAUAACCUUCUGCGCUCCAUAUUCUGUAUUGAAUCACCAACCAUUGGCAUGAUCAGAAAUAUCAUAAAUUCUGUUGGUUGGGCUAAGGUCUGGAAGCACUUACGACACACCAAGGAUGUCAAAGCUAAGCAUAAGGUCAUGGAAUGUGUGGUGCAGUGGUUGGACAAGCAGGAUCGUUUCAAUGAUUUAGCAAAAGGGAUGAGGCCUAGACUUAGCACAGAACUGGAAUUGAUACUGCGAGGACCUUUUGAGCAUGCCAUACUCCAACUACAUUUGUUUACAGAUUAUCAUAUAAGGGGUCUACUUGAUGAGGAGGGAUCACGUCUACACGACAAAGGAGGUAGAUCACAUCUUGCGAGCAUAUGUGAGGAAAUAUCAAAUUACAUGAUCUAUCUUCUUGUUGUAAACCCUUCCAUGUUGCCGGUCAGUACCACUGCAGAAGAUACACUUGCAUUGUUCCCAGAGAAAAUAUUCUCUACCGGCAGGGGUGGAGUCAGAGAUGUGCCGUGCCUUGUGCUGGAUAGACUCAAGCUAUUUGUCCUCCAGAUUUGUAAUUACUUUGUGAAGGAGUCUUCAACAGAUACUAGGACAGUAUCCCCGGCAGUCCUAGGCCUGGAUCUUCCCCUGUCUACCAGCCAGAAACAUAUCCGAGAAGUGCUACAUAAGGAUUGGACGGCUGCUGGAGAAAUUGAAGGCAAAAUACUGUUGGGUGCCCGAGCUUUAUUGGACUUUCCAGAGUUUGAAUUGACCAUCGAUGAAUUAUUGGUGGAGAUCAAAGAAAUAUGGAUAAGGCUGCUUGUUUAUGCAGCAGGCAAGUCACACGCAGAGGCACAUGCGCAACAGAUGAGCAGAGGAGGAGGGGAGCUGCUCACGUUUGUUUGGUUGCUCAUGGCCGCGCACUAUGAGCUCGGUGAUGUUGCUCGCAGGCUCGACCUUGUUACAUCGUCAUCUGGUGCUGCAGAGGGAGAUCGACUUUUCGCCUUCAUCUUUCCGUCUUAUGAACAACCUACACCCAUGUAG